AUUGAACGCUGGCGGCAGGCUUAACACAUGCAAGUCGAGCGGGGUGAUGGUGCUUGCACUAUCACUUAGCGGCGGACGGGUGAGUAAUGCUUAGGAAUCUGCCUAUUAGUGGGGGACAACAUUCCGAAAGGAAUGCUAAUACCGCAUACGUCCUACGGGAGAAAGCAGGGGAUCUUCGGACCUUGCGCUAAUAGAUGAGCCUAAGUCGGAUUAGCUAGUUGGUGGGGUAAAGGCCUACCAAGGCGACGAUCUGUAGCGGGUCUGAGAGGAUGAUCCGCCACACUGGGACUGAGACACGGCCCAGACUCCUACGGGAGGCAGCAGUGGGGAAUAUUGGACAAUGGGGGGAACCCUGAUCCAGCCAUGCCGCGUGUGUGAAGAAGGCCUUAUGGUUGUAAAGCACUUUAAGCGAGGAGGAGGCUACUGAGACUAAUACUCUUGGAUAGUGGACGUUACUCGCAGAAUAAGCACCGGCUAACUCUGUGCCAGCAGCCGCCGCAGUAA
rnacentral:rRNA from 1 species